CUUGACUUAGCCCCAGUCCUUUCGAAGAGUUGGUAGGGAUGAUCGUUUCACUGCCCCUGCGCAAGCAAGCUGCUUCUCUCUCGGCUCCUCGUUACGUAGGUCCCUGACAUGGACGAAAAAAAGGAGAUUGAAAAGGGAAAAGCAAUUAAAUCCCAACAAGCUGUUUGGAAUAAGCUUUGUGAAUCUCGCAUAAAAUUGCAGAAGUUGCUGAUUCUUUCGAAUAAACUACCUCAGUUUGACUCAUGGAGAAAUUUACAGAGUAAAGGAGGAAUUCAAUUUAUGGAAAAUCAAAGCAAAGGGUACAAUAGUGUGAAGAAAUUAUUGAAUAAUUUGCUGACUUUGCAAGCUGAGCUUUCUCAAAGAAAUCCAGAAAUGUAUAACUUGGAAAGUGAAGUUUCCAGUCUGCCUAGCCAUCAAUGGUACAUGAUCCGGAAAUCUACGACGACGAUGUUUUCUAUCGUCAACUUGUCAAAGAUAUUAUUGAAAGUAGAUCUGGUAUGGAUUCAGCAGUCUUAAGGAAACAAAUGGAAAUUCAGAAAAUAAGAAACAAAAUAAGAAAAAAAGUGGAUACCAAAGCUAGCAAAGGGCGAAAGCUUAGGUAUGAUGUUCAUCCAUAUCUUUUGAACUUUAUGGCACCUGAACCAACAGCUACCAUUACAGAUGAAGCAAGGUUAGGGCUUCUUAUGUCGAUGAAAAAAGAAAUAAAUAUAAGAUGAAAUGUGUG